rnacentral:tRNA from 3 species
GUUAGAGUGGCAGAGCCCGGUAAUUGCAAAAGGCCUAAGCCCUUUAUACAGAGGUUCAAGUCCUCUCCCUAACU